GACGAACGCUGGCGGCGCGCUUAACACAUGCAAGUCGAACGGAAAGGCCUGCUUUCCCUUGUGGAUUGCGGGUACUCGAGUGGCGAACGGGUGAGUAACACGUGAGUGAUCUGCCCCCAACUUGGGUAUAAGCCUGGGAAACUGGGUCUAAUUCCCGAUAGGACUGCAGGGUGGUGCCUGUGGUGGAAAACGAUUUUCUAGUGGUUGGGGAUGAGCUCGCGGCCUUUCAGCUUGUUGGUGGGGUAAUGGCCUACCAAGGCGGCGACGGGUAGCCGGCCUGAGAGGGUGGACGGCCACAUUGGGACUGAGAUACGGCCCAGACUCCUACGGGAGGCAGCAGUGGGGAAUAUUGCACAAUGGGCGGAAGCCUGAUGCAGCGACGCCGCGUGGGGGAUGACGGCCUUCGGGUUGUAAACUCCUUUCGACCGCGAGGAAGCCACCUGGUUGGAAGGGUGGUGACGGUAGUGGUAGAAGAAGCACCGGCUAACUACGUG
rnacentral:rRNA from 1 species